UUGAAAGGGAAACGAUUGAAGUCAGUCGUACCGACGAGAAAUCAACUUAUCGUGUGCGAACUUGUGGGCGUGCGUGAGUUUCGGCCUCGCUGUUUGCAUGUUUGUGCGUUUUGGGUGUACUUUUUCGUAUGGUUGGCCAACGUCAGUUUCGAUUAUCAUAAAAUGACCGGCGGAAUGUAGCUUCGAUUUCGGUUGAAGUGUUAUAGCCUCUGGUAGAUGUGGUGAUUGAGACUGAGGAUUGCAACGAAUACCCUUUUGGGCUAUCCGUCUGGCCUCUGAAAGUUGCUCAGGUGCCGAAAGCGUGCUUACGGUCAUCUAAGACAACGUUCAACAGGUUAGAACGUGAUUACAUUCGUUAAGGAUGUUGAC
rnacentral:rRNA from 1 species